AACAGGCUUUGGAUACAGAUUUCAAGUAAAAGAGGCUUUCUAUCCACACAACAUACAACAAAAAGACACAGAGAAUCUAAACAUUUUCCAGCCAAAGUCAAGCGACUCCAGCAACUACAUUAUAUCCUGUGGAAUUUGGAUAUUCUGCUAAAGUGCUCUUACUAGGCUUCAUAGUCAUCAUCAAUGUUAAACAACAUGAAUCACCACAGAUUGUGUCAGCUUGUGAACAAAAGGCACAAUGGAUCUGGGUUCACGCAUUGACCUAACAUUGGUUUCCAGAAGCCAUUUCACCCACGAAUAGAUUUUAUAGCUGCAUAAGAGGAACACCAUGGUUAUGGUGUUUCUUCUAAUCACCUAGUUUUCACAAAUGAUGCUUUUGUUCUUGAAUUGAUUACAUGGCCGAUUUUUUUUCCAAUAAAGUAAAGUCAACACUUCAAGGCAACAAUUAUACCUCCCUUAACUACCCACCCUUUACCUUCCAAGGCAAAAUAGGGCACAGGAAAGUGUGAAAAAAAAGCCUUCACCAUUUCCUUAUGAAUUAUAACAAGUCACCUCACCUCUGGAAUUUAGAAACAAGUAAAUAUGAAACCCAGAUUUCCGCUUGCUGCUAAGUCAGGGGCACUGUAAAUCUACAGACCUUUCAUUCCUUGUUUUAAAAAAAGCAAUUGGAGCAAAAUCUUUUAUUAUUUUUAAAAAUAUAUUUUUACUACAUUUAGAAUAUUUCAGUUAUAAAAAUGGCUAUACUUUUUUCAAACUGAUUACUUAGUGUUUGGAUUAAAGCUGCAUGGAAACAACUUUUUGGUGAAAAUGUAUUUGUUUCUCAAUGAAAUUUAAUUUUGUCAGAAAUUUUCCGACCCGGUCUAGUAAAAACUCAUUAUUAUGCAUUUCCCAUUCAGUUACUAUGAGACAGGUUUUAAUUUCAGUUACAGUAGUAAAUCCAGGCAACGCCACUGAUUUCUGUGGAAUUAUCUCCGAUUUACCCUAUCCUACCCAACAUUAUAAUCUGACUUGUCUUGUCCUGCACAGAGCUGUUUAUCUACUUACUGCACAAAAAUAUUGGUCCAUCUGGUGGAGGAGCUGUAAUUCUUCUCUGGUUACCAGACACAAGUGUUUUCUAAUGUGAAGUUUGUAAAAAUUAUUUCAGUAUGGGAGACUUAUUGGCUAGGAAGCCAGAAGACAAAGCAGCUUCCUUUGUUUUGAGACCAGAAUAAUGUAUUUUUUUAAGCAAACACUUAAGAGGAACAAUAUGACAUCUAAAAUCCUCAGCUUCACUCAGUCUGUUGAUCAUCUAUAUACAGUGCACCACAUUCUGUGCUUAUAUACCCUUAUAAUUUCACUUGAACUCAAUGAAGUUACUCUGAAUUUAUAAUAGAGUAGCCAAGAGCAGUGUUUUGCUCAGUGGCUCAGUCACCUGCCUGAAUGUUGCCUGGGUUUUCAGACUAUUUACCACAUCUUCCUUUUCUUUGUUGCAUUU